UUGCAACAAUUGAAGUGAAAAGCCACUU
rnacentral:piRNA from 1 species